rnacentral:rRNA from 1 species
CCUGAGAAACCCAAAAGAUCGAAUGGGGAGAUUCAUCGUCAGCGGCUUUGGCUUCCGUGCGGUACGCGAUGGCGGGGACCUCGGUCUCGCGUCACGCUGCCGCUGCGGCAUGUCCGGAGUCGUCGGCGUGCACUUCUCCCCUAGUAGGACGUCGCGACCCGUUGGGUGUCGGAUCGAUGGCCGGUCGGUCGUCUGUUGCGCUCGCGCUUCAGACCGAUUCGGUCGAAAGUCCGGCUGCCCGGCGGUAUUGAACGAUAUGAACUGGUAUCGGGCCGCACUCGAAUGCGUUCAGGCUCGUCGGCAGGCUCGUCUCGCUCGGAUUUACGGACCUAGCGCCGUUGCCGGGUGCUUGGCGUGGCUGUUAGUCGACGAUGUCCUCGGACUGGCUCUUACCCGUCGG